GACGAACGCUGGCGGCGUGCUUAACACAUGCAAGUCGAACGAUGAACCCGGAGCUUGCUCCGGUGGAUUAGUGGCAAACGGGUGAGUAACACGUGAGUAACCUGCCCUUGACUCUGGGAUAACUGCGGGAAACUGUAGCUAAUACCGGAUACGACCCUCGGCGGCAUCGCCAGGGGGUGGAAAGAAUUUCGGUGAAGGAUGGACUCGCGGCCUAUCAGCUAGUUGGUGAGGUAACGGCGCACCAAGGCGACGACGGGUAGCCGGCCUGAGAGGGUGACCGGCCACACUGGGACCGGGACACGGCCCAGACUCCUACGGGAGGCAGCAGUGGGGAAUAUUGCACAAUGGGCGCAAGCCUGAUGCAGCAACGCCGCGUGAGGGAUGACGGCCUUCGGGUUGUAAACCUCUUUUAGUAGGGAAGAAGCGAAAGUGACGGUACCUGCAGAAAAAGCACCGGCUAACUACGUGCCAGCCGCCGCAGUAA
rnacentral:rRNA from 1 species